GACGAACGCUGGCGGCGUGCUUAACACAUGCAAGUCGAACGGAAAGGCCCUGCUUUUGUGGGGUGCUCGAGUGGCGAACGGGUGAGUAACACGUGAGUAACCUGCCCUUGACUUUGGGAUAACUUCAGGAAACUGGGGCUAAUACCGGAUAGGAGCUCCUGCUGCAUGGUGGGGGUUGGAAAGUUUCGGCGGUUGGGGAUGGACUCGCGGCUUAUCAGCUUGUUGGUGGGGUAGUGGCUUACCAAGGCUUUGACGGGUAGCCGGCCUGAGAGGGUGACCGGCCACAUUGAGACUGAGAUACGGCCCAGACUCCUACGGGAGGCAGCAGUGGGGAAUAUUGCACAAUGGGCGGAAGCCUGAUGCAGCAACGCCGCGUGCGGGAUGACGGCCUUCGGGUGGUAAACCGCUUUCGCCUGUGACGAAGCGUGAGUGACGGUAAUGGGUAAAGAAGCACCGGCUAACUACGU
rnacentral:rRNA from 1 species